UACGGAGGGAGCUAGCGUUGUUCGGAAUUACUGGGCGUAAAGCGCGCGUAGGCGGCUUUGUAAGUUAGAGGUGAAAGCCCGGGGCUCAACUCCGGAACUGCCUUUAAGACUGCAUCGCUUGAAUCCGGGAGAGGUGAGUGGAAUUCCGAGUGUAGAGGUGAAAUUCGUAGAUAUUCGGAAGAACACCAGUGGCGAAGGCGGCUCACUGGACCGGGUAUUGACGCUGAGGUGCGAAAGCGUGGGGAGCAAGCAGG
rnacentral:rRNA from 1 species